AUUAAAAAAGUAAAACAAUUUACAACUAUUUUCGACAUAGCCUUAGAAAUUUUCUUUUAAUG
rnacentral:tRNA from 1 species